UUAGGUUCUAGACCUGGAAUUGACCCGGUUACAAAUCGGGUCGGAUCCGGGUCCAAAGCCCUAAACCUAAG
rnacentral:tRNA from 1 species